UACGAAGGGGGCUAGCGUUGUUCGGAAUCACUGGGCGUAAAGCGCACGUAGGCGGAUCUUUAAGUCAGAGGUGAAAUCCCAAGGCUCAACCUUGGAACUGCCUUUGAUACUGGGGAUCUUGAGUCCGGGAGAGGUGAGUGGAACUGCGAGUGUAGAGGUGAAAUUCGUAGAUGUUCGCAAGAACACCAGUGGCGAAGGCGGCUCACUGGCCCGGUACUGACGCUGAGGUGCGAAAGCGUGGGGAGCAAACAGG
rnacentral:rRNA from 1 species